CAAAGGAAUUGACGGGGACCCGCACAAGCGGUGGAUGAUGUGGAUUAAUUCGAUGCAACGCGAAAAACCUUNCCUACCCUUGACAUGUCAGANNUNCCUGAGAGAUUGGGGAGUGCCGCAAGGAAUCUGAACACAGGUGCUGCAUGGCUGUNGUCAGCUCGUGUCGUGAGAUGUUGGGUUAAGUCCCGCAACGAGCGCAACCCUUGUCUNUAGUUGCUACGCAAGAGCACUCUAGAGAGACUGCCGGUGACAAACCGGAGGAAGGUGGGGAUGACGUCAAGUCCUCAUGGCCCUUAUGGGUAGGGCUUCACACGUCAUACAAUGGUGCGUACAGAGGGUUGCCAACCCGCGAGGGGGAGCUAAUCCCAGAAAACGCAUCGUAGUCCGGAUCGUAGUCUGCAACUCGACUACGUGAAGCUGGAAUCGCUAGUAAUCGCGGAUCAGCAUGCCGCGGUGAAUACGUUCCCGGGUCUUGUACACNCCGCCCGUCACACCAUGGGAGUGGGUUUUGCCAGAAGUAGUUAGCCUAACCGCAAGGAGGGCGAUUACCACGGCNNNNNNCAUGACUGGGGUGAAGUCGUAACAAGGUAACCAAG
rnacentral:rRNA from 1 species